UGGGGAAUUUUGGACAAUGGGGGAAACCCUGAUCCAGCCAUGCCGCGUGAGGGAUGAAGGCCUUCGGGUUGUAAACCUCUUUCAGACGGAACGAAACGGUUCAGGUUAAUAGUCUGAAUUAAUGACGGUACCGUAAGAAGAAGCACCGGCUAACUACGUGCCAGCAGCCGCGGUAAUACGUAGGGUGCGAGCGUUAAUCGGAAUUACUGGGCGUAAAGCGUGCGUAGGCGGCUUCGCAAGUCAGGUGUGAAAGCCCUGGGCUCAACCUAGGAAUUGCGCUUGAAACUACGGAGCUAGAGUUUGGCAGAGGGGGGUGGAAUUCCACGUGUAGCAGUGAAAUGCGUAGAUAUGUGGAGGAACACCGAUGGCGAAGGCAGCCCCCUGGGCCAAAACUGACGCUCAGGCACGAAAGCGUGGGGAGCAAACAGGAUUAGAUACCCCCGUAGUCCCUG
rnacentral:rRNA from 1 species